rnacentral:rRNA from 2 species
UUGACCUCAAAUCAGGCGGGACUACCCGCUGAACUUAAGCAUAUCAAUAAGCGGAGGAAAAGAAACUAACAAGGAUUCCCCUAGUAACUGCGAGUGAAGCGGGAUGAGCUCAAAUUUAAAAUCUGGCGUCUUCGGCGUCCGAGUUGUAAUUUAGAGAAGCGUUUUCCGCGCCGGACCGUGUACAAGUCUCCUGGAACGGAGCGUCAUAGAGGGUGAGAAUCCCGUCUUUGACACGGACCCCCGGUGCUCUGUGAUACGCUCUCGAAGAGUCGAGUUGUUUGGGAAUGCAGCUCAAAAUGGGUGGUGAACUCCAUCUAAAGCUAAAUAUUGGCGAGAGACCGAUAGCGAACAAGUACCGUGAGGGAAAGAUGAAAAGCACUUUGGAAAGAGAGUGAAACAGUACGUGAAAUUGUUGAAAGGGAAACGCUUGAAGUCAGUCGCGUCCGCCGGGACUCAGCCGCAAGGUGUACUUUCCGGUGGACGGGCCAGCAUCACUUUCAAUCAUCGGAAAAGGGCGAGGGGAAUGUGGCACCUCCGGGUGUGUUAUAGCCCUUUGUCGUAUACGGUGACUGGGAGUGAGGACCGCCUUUGUAGGAUGCUGGCGUAAUGGCUUUAAACGACCCGUC